rnacentral:rRNA from 1 species
AUACUGGCUGUCUUGAGUACAGUAGAGGUGGGCGGAAUUCGUGGUGUAGCGGUGAAAUGCUUAGAUAUCACGAAGAACUCCGAUUGCGAAGGCAGCUCACUGGACUGCAACUGACACUGAUGCUCGAAAGUGUGGGUAUCAAACAGGAUUAGAUACCCUGGUAGUCCACACAGUAAACGAUGAAUACUCGCUGUUUGCGAUAUACAGUAAG